rnacentral:misc_RNA from 1 species
GAAAUGCGAUAAGUAAUGUGAAUUGCAGAAUUCAAUGAAUCAUCGAAUCUUUGAACGCAUCUUGCGCUCCUUGGUAUUCCUUGGAGCAUGCCUGUUUGAGUAUCAUGAAAUCUUCAAAGUAAAUCUUUUGUUAACUCAAUUGGUUUCUACUUUGGUAUUGGAGGUCUUUGCAGCUUCACACCUGCUCCUCUUUGUUCAUUAGCUGGAUCUCAGUGUUAUGCUUGGUUCCACUCGGCGUGAUAAGUUAUCUAUCGCUGAGGACACUGUAAAAGGUGGCCAAGGUAAAUGCAGAUGAACCGCUUCUAAUAGUCCAUUGACUUGGACAAUACUUUUAUGAUCUGAUCUCAAAUCAGGUAGGACUACCCGCUGAACUUAAGC